ensembl:snRNA U1 U1 spliceosomal RNA
AUACUUACCUGGCAGGGGCGAUACCAUGAUCACUAAGGUGGUUCACCCAGAGCGAGGCUCAUCCAUUGCACUCCGGAUGUGCUGACCCCUGUGAAUUCCCCAAAUGUGGGAAUCUCAACUGCAUAAUUUCUGGUAGUGGGGGACUGCGUCCGCGCUCUCCCCUG